GCAUUCUGUUCAAUCCCUGCAUUCUCCUGUCCCAAGGUUUUAACGGCCAUCUGGAACUUCCAGGGAGAUCAGGAAAGCACAUACCUGGGGUUUUCCACUUCAGAUGUGAGAGGCAAGCUCAGCCUUACAAAGGUGAGGUUUCCUCAGACAUGGGAAGGCAGCUCAGAUGCACUGAUAAAAGUCCAUCCAAUGAAGGAAGCUCCAGAAAGAAUUGAGUUGAAGUUUUCUGUCAACCCAGAGCAAUGGAAGCUCUAAGUCAACAAUUAAGUCGAGAUACAGAAAAUCAAAUCCGAUUGUACAACUGAGUUUACAGACUAGUUUGUACUCACUUUUGUAGUAUAAUGGAAGUGAGUGUGUGACGGUUCUGAGCCUAGGCUUCCAAGAAGCAUCCUGCUUGGCCUUCUGCCACUGUCCUGAGACCAUGUCCAGACUGGCCUGCCAAAGGACAACAAGCCAAGUGGAUCUGAGCCAAGUCGCCCCAUCACCCAGCAGCCCCUGCUGACAGCCUGCUGACCCCCAGAUAUGUCAGGCAUGGUGGCUCACACCUGUAAUCCCAGCUCUUUGGAAGGCUGAGGUGAGAGGAUCAUUUUCGGUCAGAAGUUCAAAACCAGCCUGGCCAACAUGGUGAAACCUCGUCUCUACUAAAAAUACAAACAUUAGCUUGGUGUGGUGGCAGGCGCCUGCAAUCCGAGGUACUCUGGAGACUGAGGCAGGAGAAUCGCUUGAACCCGGGUGUCAGAGGUUGCAGUGAGCCGAGAUUACCCCACAGCACUCCAGCCUGGGUGACAGAGCAAGAC